AUUGGGUGUGAUAUUUUGUGCUGUUUUAUGAGAUAUCCAAAACUACCUUUUCCACAGUGAUCUGUAACAUCAUCUGUAAGCUCAGAUGCUGUGGAGCAGCUGUGAUGUCCUACUGCGGCUGAUAAACCACCUCCUGCUCGCUUGGGCCAUGUGCUGAUUCAUGAAGAGGACCAGAGGUGUUGACACUGUCUUUUUGUCUUCAUGGAGGGCAUUGAACCUUGCCUGCCUUGAACCUUGCCCAUGUAACAUCCUGGAGUUGGCAAAAGUGCUUCAUUUUCCUUCUGUCAUCUUGGGAAUCAUUAAACAGCCCCAAACAUUCCCGUCGGACUGGCUGCAGCGGCUCCCGCCAGCUGCGCAGGGCAAAGUCAAUCGGCAGAAGCAUCCCAGGACUCCUGAGACAGAAAAUCGCAGGGAAAAGCUGGAAUUUGACGGAAUGGAUGAAGAUUUAAGUGUCACACACACCCCAACUACCUGAUAACAAGUACCUGCCAAUGUGUAUGUGCCUGUAAAUGUUUGUUCACCAGGAGCACCUCUCGGUGAAUGUUGUCUCCGAAGCCGUGAGCAGGCGCAAGGGCAUCUCCGGCAUUCCUGGCUGGCGAAACUGGGAGCCGGUGCUGUAAACGCAUCUCCUUGGAACUGGAGUGAAUGCUGCUGAGCUGAAACCGCAGCAAGUUGCGUCACUGAACAGUAUUUCCUCCCUAAGACUUCCCCCCAUUUUUGGCUUUGCACCAAAACCGUGCAGGAGCUAAACCCGAGCUGCACUUGGGGACAUUGUCCAUGUGGUGGCACCAACAGAACAGCAGAGAGGGGCAGGGAGCUGCCGAGCUGAGGAAGGAGAAGCCGAGAAGGACGGAGCCAGCACAGCGCAGCGGAGCCCAGGGUGACAUCUUCACAAACCCAAAACUGAACUUCUUCCCUUUUUACGUUCUUGGUGGCUUUCCCUGCUGCCCAAGAGUUCUGAAACUCCCUGUGUUGUAAGUCAUCUGUUUUUCAAGCAUCAAAAAUGGCUCUAGCUAAUAACAGCGUUGCUACAGCUUUCCCUUGUGCCCUACAGAAAAGUGUCCUGAUUGCCUGUGACUCCGAACGGCAGUGAGCAGAUGGACGGCAAUGCACAGGGUUCCAGGAGAGUUGCUGCGUGUGGUCCCAGUAGCGCAAAAGUUUGCUUAUAGCAUCUGCUCUGAAGAAUGUGAUCACAGGAUAA